rnacentral:rRNA from 1 species
UGCAGUCGAACGCGUUGGCCCAAUUGAUUGAUGGUGCUUGCACCUGAUUGAUUUUGGUCGCCAACGAGUGGCGGACGGGUGAGUAACACGUAGGUAACCUGCCCAGAAGCGGGGGACAACAUUUGGAAACAGAUGCUAAUACCGCAUAACAGCGUUGUUCGCAUGAACAACGCUUAAAAGAUGGCUUCUCGCUAUCACUUCUGGAUGGACCUGCGGUGCAUUAGCUUGUUGGUGGGGUAACGGCCUACCAAGGCGAUGAUGCAUAGCCGAGUUGAGAGACUGAUCGGCCACAAUGGGACUGAGACACGGCCCAUACUCCUACGGGAGGCAGCAGUAGGGAAUCUUCCACAAUGGGCGCAAGCCUGAUGGAGCAACACCGCGUGAGUGAAGAAGGGUUUCGGCUCGUAAAGCUCUGUUGUUAAAGAAGAACACGUAUGAGAGUAACUGUUCAUACGUUGACGGUAUUUAACCAGAAAGUCACGGCUAACUACGUGCCAGCAGCCGCGGUAAUACGUAGGUGGCAAGCGUUAUCCGGAUUUAUUGGGCGUAAAGAGAGUGCAGGCGGUUUUCUAAGUCUGAUGUGAAAGCCUUCGGCUUAACCGGAGAAGUGCAUCGGAACUGGAUAACUUGAGUGCAGAAGAGGGUAGUGGAACUCCAUGUGUAGCGGUGGAAUGCGUAGAUAUAUGGAAGAACACCAGUGGCGAAGGCGGCUACCUGGUCUGCAACUGACGCUGAGACUCGAAAGCAUGGGUAGCGAACAGGAUUAGAUACCCUGGUAGUCCAUGCCGUAAACGAUGAGUGCUAGGUGUUGGAGGGUUUCCGCCCUUCAGUGCCGGAGCUAACGCAUUAAGCACUCCGCCUGGGGAGUACGACCGCAAGGUUGAAACUCAAAGGAAUUGACGGGGGCCCGCACAAGCGGUGGAGCAUGUGGUUUAAUUCGAAGCUACGCGAAGAACCUUACCAGGUCUUGACAUCUUGCGCCAACCCUAGAGAUAGGGCGUUUCCUUCGGGAACGCAAUGACAGGUGGUGCAUGGUCGUCGUCAGCUCGUGUCGUGAGAUGUUGGGUUAAGUCCCGCAACGAGCGCAACCCUUGUUACUAGUUGCCAGCAUUAAGUUGGGCACUCUAGUGAGACUGCCGGUGACAAACCGGAGGAAGGUGGGGACGACGUCAGAUCAUCAUGCCCCUUAUGACCUGGGCUACACACGUGCUACAAUGGACGGUACAACGAGUCGCGAACUCGCGAGGGCAAGCAAAUCUCUUAAAACCGUUCUCAGUUCGGACUGCAGGCUGCAACUCGCCUGCACGAAGUCGGAAUCGCUAGUAAUCGCGGAUCAGCAUGCCGCGGUGAAUACGUUCCCGGGCCUUGUACACACCGCCCGUCACACCAUGAGAGUUUGUAACACCCAAAGUCGGUGGGGUAACCUUUUAGGAGCCAGCCGCCU